rnacentral:rRNA from 1 species
AUUGAACGCUGGCGGCAUGCUUUACACAUGCAAGUCGAACGGUAACAGGCCUUCGGGUGCUGACGAGUGGCGAACGGGUGAGUAAUGCAUCGGAACGUACCCAGAGGUGGGGGAUAACGCAGCGAAAGCUGUGCUAAUACCGCAUGUGAUCUGAGGAUGAAGGCGGGGGACCGAGCAGCAAUGUUUGGCCUCGCGCCUUUGGAGCGGCCGAUGUCGGAUUAGCUAGUUGGUGGGGUAAAGGCCUACCAAGGCGACGAUCCGUAGCUGGUCUGAGAGGACGACCAGCCACACUGGGACUGAGACACGGCCCAGACUCCUACGGGAGGCAGCAGUGGGGAACUUUGGACAAUGGGCGCAAGCCUGAUCCAGCAAUGCUGCGUGCGGGAAGAAGGCCUUCGGGUUGUAAACCGCUUUUGGCAGGAACGAAACGGUGUCCGCUAAUACCGGGCGCUAAUGACGGUACCUGCAGAAUAAGCACCGGCUAACUACGUG